UUGACUAUUAAGCCAUAAAUAAACAAAAUAACUCUUUGUUUUUUUUAAAAAAUACCUCAUCCUCUUCCAGUUCCUGCAACGCUUACACCGCCACGGACCACCGCGUUCCGCCUCUUCCUCCACCUCAACAGCCACCUCUCCCAUUUGUACAUUGACUUUUAGCCUUAAUUAGUCAAACUUCUCUGCACCAAACAUGGCGGCUUCUGCUUUCUCGGCUUACUCUUUGUUCAGUUCGAGAAUUAGCGAACCAUCAACCUUAAUCUCCUCGAAAUCACGCUCUACGUUUAGCUUCAAAAGACCUCCACCUAUGAAAAUCUCAUGCGAUUACUCUUGCUUGGAAGUUAAGGAUGUUCAUUAUCGACCUCCAGGGACACAGGUUAACCUUUUAAAUGGAGUUAGCUUUUCACUUCCAGAGAAAAGUUUUGGCUUAAUUUUUGGACAGAGUGGAAGUGGGAAAACUACUCUCUUGCAGCUACUUGCAGGGUUAAGCAAACCAACGUCAGGUUCUAUUUAUAUUCAGAGAUAUACAAAUGAUGGCAAACCAAAUCAGUCUCCAAAAUCAUUAGUUCCAGAAAGAAUUGGUAUCGUCUUCCAGUUCCCAGAGAGGUAUUUCGUGGCAGACAAUGUGCUUGAUGAAGUUACAUUUGGCUGGCCAAGGCAAAGGGUUGGGCUUCAAUUGAAGGAGCAUCUUGCAUUAAAUCUCCAAAGAGCUUUAAACUGGGUUGGAUUGAAUGGGAUUUCCUUGGAUAAAGAUCCUCAUUCAUUGAGUGGCGGCUACAAACGUCGACUUGCUCUUGCAAUUCAAUUAGCACAAGUCCCUGACUUACUGAUAUUGGACGAGCCUCUUGCUGGUCUUGGUAUGACCUUGCUUUUUCUACUCUGUUUUUGUUACAGAUUGGAAGGCGCGCGCUGAUGUUGUGAAGCUUUUGAAGCAUCUGAAGAAAGAAUUAACUAUACUUGUCGUCAGUCAUGAUCUCAAAGAGCUAGAAGAUUUAGUUGAUCGAUCUUGGAGGAUGGAAAUGGGUGGAGUUUUGAGGGAAGAGAGCCUACUGGUUUAGUUUAGGGCCUUGCCUGCUAAAUUGACACUUCUUUCUUUGAUGUUUGAUAUUUCAGAGUGAAUUCAAAUAUUGUUGUAGCUCAAUUAUGGACUCUUUUGAAGUGCUUUGAUUGUGGACCGGAAUAUUCUCAAGAAUUGGAAGGAGACUUAAAAGUGAUCGUAAACGCAUCUUCAGAGUAGGAAAACUACAAGAAACAAAGUGCACGACUUUAUUUUCACACACCGGAGGAUAAAAUGGAUUCUGCCAACUAGUCCUCUUCUUCUUCAAUUGAGUUCAUCACCGCUCAACUGCAAAUGCAUUACAACACAGUUGCUAUUAUAAAGCCAUAAGAUUGGCAUUCUUACUGCAAAGGAUGAAAGCUACCAAUAAGCAUUUGUUGCAGUUUCUUCACUACAGCUCCAACACCAAGUCUACGAUGACAGCAGCAGAUGAUGGGCAGACAUAUAUUAGAAAAAAACUAAAUACUCAUCUUGCAAAGCUCAAUUACGGUCUGUAUUGCUAUUGUUUAUAUGUUAAAUGAAUGUCUGAUAUAAGGUUUAGGAAUAUAUUUCUGAUUAUGUCAAAAUAUUGCCUAUUCAUUUGUAAGUUAUGAACGCUAAUUCUGAUAAUAGUUCAUUUAGUUUCUU